UCGCCAUGUGGCAGCUAGCCCUCUGAAAUUCACUCGCCAAACAGGAAAUUUACUCGCAUUUGGCGACUGCAGAGAGUUAAUUUCGGACCAUGCAUACAAGGUUAACACUCUAACGGUGUCCAGCUGGCAGCCUGCUGCUUAAAUACUCCACCGCCACGCCGUGAAACAAGGAUCAGCUGAGGGGCCACGCCCCCCUGUCAAACUGCCGCUACCUAUGGAGAGGAAAGGCAGGGCCGGGAGCAGCCUGACAGGUGCUGCUCAGGCUGGAUCCUAACCUUGAUUAGACUUCUUUCAUACAUUAAAUUCAAAGCUUAAUUGUUUAUAUUCAUAAAGCUAAAGCUUGAGGUCUCUAAUCUCACUGUACUGACACUACAGCUAAGCUAAGUAAAGCUAAAGCUUGAGGUCUCUGAUCUGACUGACAUUUCUGACGCAACAGCUAAAACAGAAAGCGGCAUAGUAAGGGACGGAAGCACAGUAGAGGUGGUUUGUGUGUGUUUGUCUGAACUGUCCCAGAUAGCACUUGCAUAGUUCAGGCAGCUUGGACAGGGGCUGAAACAUUUGCCGACGUUUUCACAAUUUCUUAAUACUCCAGGUAACUGCCAGCUCCAAAAAGCAGAAAUCUUGUUAUCAUAGAUCCAGUUUUGAAAACAUUUUCAACAUCCUCAGCUGACAAAAUGGACAGACACAUGAUCCUCCUACCACUGUGUCCUGGCGGGUACUGGGGCUCUCCUAUGACCAACAUUCUUUCCAUCAUUAACCGUUUUUCUAAGACGUGUCACCUUGUCCCUCUCAGAAAGUUACCUGCAGCAUUGCAGACAGCCCAGCACCUGGUUAAGUACAUUUUCCGACUCAUUGGUAUCCCCCAGGAGAUCCUAUCUGAUUGCUGUCCUCAAUUCAUAUCUCAGCCCUCAAUGCCAAAGUUUCACUAAUUUCUGGUUAUCAUCCUUUAGAAGUCAGAUCAAACACAUGAACCAGGAAAUGGAAUCCACUCUCAGGUGUUUAACCUGCACAUACCCAUCCGACUGGUGCAAUGUCUUCCCUGGGUUGAGUAGGCCCAUAAUUCCCUUGUUUCCUCAGCCACUGGUUUGUCUACCUUCAUGGUCUCUCUGGGCUAUCAACUUCCACUAUUCACGAGGAGAAGUAUAUCUCUGUCACUUCAGUCCAUCAUCUUAUGCGCUGCUGUAAGAACAUCUGGUCCAAGAUCAUCUCUGCACUUCAUAGCACAGCUGAUCAAAACCACAAGUAUGCUGACAAGAAAUGCACUCCACAGUACUGCCCUGGACAAAAGGUCUUGAUCAUUCAAUCAAUCAUUCAUUCAAUCAAUCAGCUUUAUUUCUAGAGCACAUUUUCAAACCCACAUGGAUGACAAGUGCUAAAAACAAGAAAAUAUUAAAAAACAAGUUAAAAAUAUGCAAAACACACACACACAUCAAAAGCUAAAAAUCAGGUUCACAGUAAGAGUAUUGUAAUGGAUGGUGAGCUAUUUAAAAUAAAUUGCCUAAUUAAUAUUUUUGUAGACUAUCAAGUAAAUUAUUCAAAGUGAAUUUUAUGAAUUAAGAAUGUUGCAUAUUGUUUUGGAUGUUUGUCUGUUUUGAUUAGCAUUGUGGUGGUUUAUGUUUUGUUUAAUGUUGUUUGCAAUUUGUAAUGUUUUUGAGUGUUUUGUGUGUACCUCACGGGCUGCUGUAGAUAAUGAGGGCGGGCUCUAUAAAAGCUGAUACAAUCAUUGUGCCAAUGAACGGCUUGAACUGUCAAAUGUGUAACCAAGAAAUCAACAUGGUAUUCCCCAGUGAAAGCAGCGAGUUUUCACAGUGACUUUGGUGACUGAGAGACUGUGUACCUUUGGUGACUGUGAUGGAUCUUCAUCAAAGAAAAUAAAACGCUAAAA